AAAGAAACGGAGAAAAACCGGUAAAAAAAAACGGAGGAGCUUGCCAAAGAUGAGGCCAUUACUGCUCGCCUUUAGGUCUCCUCCUUGAGAUAGCGUCUUUUAAAGAACGAGAGUCAGCACAACGUAAAAAAAAAACGAAAAAAAA